rnacentral:rRNA from 1 species
GACAGAGGGUGCGAACGUUGUUCGGAAUUACUGGGCGUAAAGCGCGUGUAGGCUGUUCGGAAAGUCGGGUGUGAAAGCCCUGGGCUCAACCUAGGAAGUGCACUCGAAACUCCCGAACUGGAGUCCCGGAGAGGAAGGCGGAAUUCUCGGUGUAGAGGUGAAAUGCGUAGAGAUCGGCAGGAACACCCAGGGGGAAACCAGCCGACUGGGCAUCUGCUGACGCUGAGGUGCGAGAGCGUGGGGAGCGAACCGG